GUGCUUGCUUUGGCAGCACACAUAAAAAAUGUAAAAUAAUAUGGAGUAGAUGAGGAUGGUCCUUGUGCAAGAUAACCCAUAAAUUCAUGAAACAUUCCAUAUCUUU